CCUCCUCUGUGGGCUCCCUGAGGACAAAACAUCUGUCUUAUGUAUCUCUGGUGCUCACUGUCCUAGGGCAGGCCCCGACACACGUUGGGUCCGGUCAGAUGAAGAAACGGAGGGGGCCGUGACACCACAUCAGACACUUACAGGACCAGGAAGACCAGAGGAGACGCCCCACUCCUCUCAUCUAUUCUUGGCCUACAUGGUUUCUCUCAUCUGGCCCCAGAAUGGCCGGAGAGCCACUCCCAGUGGAAACCACAGUUUGGGCUGGAAGAAUUUCUUCUGCAGUGUCCCUGGGGCCAGGCCCACUGGCCUUGGAAACUGCCUUAGUGUUAUUUAAACUGCAGAACAGAGUCUAUGGGCAGCUCUGACCGGACCCGGGUGGGGGCGGCCUGGAUCAGGAUUAUGCUGGAGCCUCCCUCCCCCGACCACCAGGACCUCAGGGGUUGAGAUGUGUGGUUCUGUCUUCGCAGCCUCUUGCUGUCGUGGAAAAGAACAAGGGGGUUAAGGAAGUUUCACGCGCAGCGCAGAGCCCCACGCAGGCCUGAUGCAGGGCCAAACUCACCACCCUAAGAUCAAGACCUGAGCCAGACGCUUAACCGACUCAGCCACCCAGGUGGCCUUUACAUUUCUGUUUUGUGCACUUUUCUGUAGGUGUGCUACUCUUAACAAUAAAAAGUGUUUCAAAAAUAA